rnacentral:rRNA from 1 species
CCUACGGGUGGCAGCAGUGGGGAAUAUUGGGCAAUGGGCGCAAGCCUGACCCAGCAACGCCGCGUGAAGGAAGAAGGCUUUCGGGUUGUAAACUUCUUUUCUCAGGGACGAAGCAAGUGACGGUCCCUGAGUAAUAAGCCACGGCUAACUACGUGCCAGCAGCCGCGGUACUACGUAGGUGGCAAGCGUUAUCCGGAUUUACUGGGUGCAAAGGGCGUGUAGGCGGGGACGCAAGUCAGAUGUGAAAACCCCGGGCUCAACCUGUGGCCUGCAUUUGAAACUGUGGUGCUGGAGUACUGGAGAGGCAGACGGAAUUCCUAGUGUAGCGGUGAAAUGCGUAGAUAUUAGGAGGAACACCAGUGGCGAAGGCGGUCUGCUGGACAGCAACUGACGCUGAGGCGCGAAAGCGUGGGGAGCAAACAGGAUUAGAUACCCGUGUAGUC